rnacentral:rRNA from 1 species
AUGGAAGGAGCUCCCGUGACUGCUGCCACGGGGGCGUUGGGGCCCGUUGUAGCGAAGCUGGGUGCUCUGCUGGGCAGCGAGUGCAAGCUCCGGCGCCGGACUCGCAAGGACGUCAAGUUCAUCAGAUCAAAGCUCAAGCAUGUGCACUCCAUCCUCUGGGCGGCAUGGGGGCAGGAGAUUCUUGAUGCAGAAUCCAAGGAACUGAAGAAGGAGGCGCUGGAUCUCGCCGAUGACAUGCUUGAUGCCAUCGACGACUUCAACCUCACUUUGGAGGGCAGCCGCAGAAGCAAGCGCUUGAUGGUGCAGACCAAGAUCAAAGCAAGCCCCUUCCAAGAUUUCAGGGCAAGAGUGGAUGAAGUGUCGGUCCGGUGCCGCAGCAAGUGGAAGUCUGCUCAGCCCAUCUCCAGCUUAUUUUCAAGGAAGAAAAACAACCACCCCAGAAUACCGCCUCCUCGAGCUCCAUUUGUUCGCAAGGAUGCGGCGGACAUCUUUGGAAUGGACAGAUGGAAGAAUGACCUCAUCACAUACCUGAUAGGAGAAGGAGGAGAAGAAGAAGGGACCACAGCGGUGCAGCAGCAGCUCAAAACCGCAUCCAUUGUUGGAAUGGCUGGUGUGGGGUAA